UUGUUCUUUUGAAUAAAAAUUUUUGUGA
rnacentral:sRNA from 1 species